ACUUAGGAAACACGCUGGAGUGGCUGGAGGAGCCAGCUGCCGGAGCCCGACAGCCUCUCGUCCCCCGCGGGGUUAACACACGACGGGCCAGGCGACCAUCAGCCGCACUGAGCUUCCGCUCCUCCGCCGACCGCCCGAUCGCGACACCGGAGGAGGAACUCACCCGUCGCCGUCCUCUGUUGGGCCGAGGUCGGACUCGAUCCCGGGUCUCUCGCUCCUCUCUCCUGCGGCGUGUUUGAGUGGUGCAGUAGUUCACCACUGCGUACUCAAUGACGGACAGGAAGACAAACAGGAAGCUGGUCCACAGGUAGAUGUCAACCGCUUUCACGUAGGACACCUGGACGACGAAGACGGAGACACACAGGCACAGAUUCUCAUGUGCAGCCGAGGGUUUUGACGAGGUUCACGUGAUUAUCAGCGAGAAGGAAGCAAGUGAAGGGAAGGCGUGAAGGAGACUUGAUAAGGACUUACUCAGAAACAUCUGACCGCACAAACACAGCUGUUACCUGAGGCAUGGAGGAGGACACUCCCGUGAUGAUGGUGGACAUGAGAGACUCGGGCAGGAACGGCCCUCCUGUCGAUCCAGAAGGAGACCCAGGACAGCACGACCAUGAGCAUGGUGGGGAAGUACGUCUGCAGCAUGAAGAAGAAGAUGUGCCGCCGCAGGAUGAAGUUGAUGAACAGCCG